AGACAUGCUCAGGUGCGAAACAAGAGCGUGCGAAAAGUAUAAGCCAAUUUCACAAUAAAUACUAAUAAGAUUAUUGCAAAUACUACUGAACUACUAAUACAGAAACCUACCAGUUAAAAUAAAAAGAUCCAGCGCUGUAAAAAUAUUUGAUAUUCUAGAAGUAAAAACUAUGACAGGAUGAGAAAAAAAAGUAUACAAAAUCAAUAAUUAAAAUAUAUCAUUUUUAACUACAGCUGUCUAUAGAUAAGAAAAGAAAGGAUUAUUUAAUGUACAUUAUGAGUGGAAUAAUGAUUUAUUGUUUCGAUGAUAAUGCCGUUGACCUACUGUAUGAUUUGACUUGUAUUAACAUAACACCUGUAAAAAAAAAAGUGAAUUAGUACAUGUUUUCAUGUUUUUGAUUAAAAGAACAUAAAAAAAUAAUAAGAUACAUAGGGAUCAUUUUUAAUAUAAUAAAUAAAAAUAAUUAUAUAUAACAAUUUAAAUAUAUAUUUACAUGUUUCAGGUAAAUGUAACGAAAUAAUUGUUUAAAGUAAAAUUUGAAUACUAGUCAAAACAAUAAUUUGAAACUUGUAAGUACAAUCUAUAAAGAAAAAAAACUUACAAAACCACCAAAAUUAUAAGUUGUUUCAGGCUAACAAAAAAAUAA